rnacentral:lncRNA from 1 species
CACACAUUGAGAAAUAAGUUUAAUUUACAUUAUAAAUGGAGUUAUUUAUUACAUUCAUAACAGUUUACAUCGCAACUAGCACUGCCCGCCCCCGUUUUUGUCUUUGCAUAUUAUAUUUCAUUUUACGAUGAAUAGUUCAGUGGCGGAAAUUUACUUUUUUUGGUGGUGGGGCAAAGCCAUCUGAAUUUCAUACAAACCCCCCAUUUAAACUCACAUUUGGCUGUUUUUAACAUUUUGUCGGGUUAAAGUUUUCGAUAAAUACUGUUUAUGGCAAAGGUGGUGGUGAACUUUCCCAGGAUGGAAAUCGAAAUUGCCUUACCCCAUCAAAAUUUCCGCCACUAAACACGUCAAUCAUAUAGCAGGUCUAAUUCUAUCGUAACCUAGUGCGUUUUUGUUACUCCAUACAGUUAAUUGGUGCAAUUACUUGACGUCUAUGGAUGGUCCUGAAUACAUAGGGCUUUUUUGAUGUCAUGAUCAGUUUAGAAGACAUCAAUAAUUGUUAGUUGGUGAUACUGAUGGUGACAUGGUGAUGAUAUGGUUAUGCUCAAGUUCAAUUCUUAUUAUUUGAACGAUUUUGCAAAUGUAGUGACAUUAAGGUUACUCCACAUGAUGGAAACCCAUUUCACCAAAAUGCUCACCGCGCACUCAAUUUUCAAGUUUUCCCCUUCAAAUUUUGUAUGCAUAAUGAUAAAUCAUUGCUGUAGCUGAAGAUUUGCCAAAAAUUCUACACCUUUAAAAACUGUACUUGCUACGGGUUGCUUUUGAAAAUAUGACGGCCUUUGCGCCACGAGAUUAGAUCGCUUCUGAUUUACCUCAAAGGCUUCCGAAACAUAAUAUUUCCCAUCUCAAAUGAUCAAAGAACAAAACCGUGUUCGCGUUUUUUG